rnacentral:rRNA from 1 species
UACGGGGGGGUAAGCGUUGUUCGGAAUUACUGGGCGUAAAGGGCUCGUAGGCGGCCAACUAAGUCAUACGUGAAAUCCCUCAGCUUUAACUGGGGGAACUGCGUGUGAUACUGGAUGGCUUGGAUUUGGGAGAGGGAUGCGGAAUUCCAGGUGUAGCGGUGAAAUGCGUAGAUAUCUGGAGGAACACCGGUGGCGAAGGCGGCAUCCUGGACCAAUAUUGACGCUGAGGAGCGAAAGCUAGGGGAGCAAAACGGG